rnacentral:rRNA from 1 species
AUGAAGCUGGAAUCGCUAGUAAUCGCGGAUCAGAAUGCCGCGGUGAAUACGUUCCCGGGUCUUGUACACACCGCCCGUCACACCAUGGGAGUCGGAAAUGCCCGAAGUCUGUGACCCAACCAUUAAGGAGGGAGCAGCCGAAGGCAGGUCGGAUGACUGGGGGUGAAGUCGUAACAAGGUAAC